rnacentral:rRNA from 1 species
AAUCAACGCUGGCGGCGUGCCUCAGACAUGCAAGUCGAACGCGAAAGUUCCCUUCGGGGGAUGAGUAGAGUGGCGCACGGGUGAGUAACACGUAGGUAAUCUACCUUUGGAUGGGGAAUAACAACCGGAAACGGUUGCUAAUACCGCAUAAUGCAGCGGCACCUAAUGGUGACAGUUGUUAAAGCGGGGGAUCGAAAGACCUCGCGUCUGAAGAGGAGCCUGCGGCGGAUUAGCUAGNGGUAAGGUAACGGCUUACCAAGGCGACGAUCCGUAGCCGGCCUGAGAGGGCGGUCGGCCACACUGACACUGACAUACGGGUCAGACUCCUACGGGAGGCAGCAGUCGGGAAUUUUGGGCAAUGGGCGAAAGCCUGACCCAGCAACGCCGCGUGAAGGAUGAAAUCCCUCGGGAUGUAAACUUCGCAAGAACGGGAAGAAUAAGUUUGUGCUAAUACCACAAGCGAUGACGGUACUGUUUGUAAGCUCC